UGGGUUUGAUGGGUUCUUGAUUCCACGGUCUCUUGCCCUGGGAUCUUUGCUCAUCCGUGGCGUGUUCUUCCGUGGUCUUUCUUGGUUUGACUUUUGUUUUUCUUUCUUUCUUUCUUGUCUUUCGAUCGAUAGAUGGGUGAACUAGUAGGCUCUUUGAAUCCGCCUUUUUUUAAUUCGUUUUGUCGACCCAGUUGUACGGCAUAUUCUGGUGCUUCGUUUGGAUGGUGGUGGACUCUCUCUUCCUUUGUCUCUGUUGUUAGCAUGGCAUAUACGAAUUCUGUCAUCUUUAGGGAGGGGCAUCAUCGGUUGGGAGUUCAAAUUGGGUAGCACAAGUGAAUUUCUAUGGAAAAAGAAUGGUGGGCUAAUUAUGAGCUCAAACUGGGACUGAUGUAAUUUUACUCGAAGCAUUGAUUCUUUUUUGUCCAUGAUGCAAGAGUAGUGCUGGUGAAGCUCUUGACAGUUGACAUGAUCUGAUGCUUUGCAAUGAUGUGUCGUUUUUCGAGUUUCGUAGUGGACUUUAACCUCCUCUUGUUUGCUCUUAGUUGAUAUCAUAUUUUACGAGUUCUUUAGUGGGUUUUUU